rnacentral:rRNA from 1 species
GACGAACGCUGGCGGCGUGCUUAACACAUGCAAGUCGAACGGUGAAGCUCCAGCUUGCUGGAGUGGAUCAGUGGCGAACGGGUGAGUAACACGUGAGCAACCUGCCCCAGACUCUGGAAAAAGCGCUGGAAACGGCGUCUAAUACUGGAUACGAGAUCAAGCCGCAUGGUUAUGGGCUGGACAGUUUUUCGGUCUGGGAUGGGCUCGCGGCCUAUCAGCUUGUUGGUGAGGUUAUGGCUCACCAAGGCGACGACGGGUAGCCGGCCUGAGAGGGCGACCGGCCACACUGGGACUGAGACACGGCCCAGACUCCUACGGGAGGCAGCAGUGGGGAAUAUUGCACAAUGGGCGAAAGCCUGAUGCAGCGACGCCGCGUGAGGGAUGACGGCCUUCGGGUUGUAAACCUCUUUCAGCAGGGAAGAAGCGAAAGUGACGGUACCUGCAGAAGAAGCACCGGCUAACUACGUG